AAUCUACCAGUUUUCUCGCUACAAGUGUUUAAAUGACAUCACCCUUUUUAAAAAUUAGAAAUUUAAGCUGAUUCAUUUAACCUGCACUUAGUAGGUACAACUAACUAGAUAAUUAUAUACACUCUUUAACUGCCUAGUUAACAGCCCUUGACUUCCAAAACGGAUUGUUUAUCUUAAUAUAUAAACAUUGCCGUUAUGCUGAACGACUGUGGCGACAUUUUCGUAUCGCAAACUGGGCUGUACUAAAGCAGAAGCUGAAACCCAUUCAUGAAGACUGCUUUGAAGCCGUUAAACUGCAAGCAGUUCCAUUUUAUUUAUGUGACUGUCCUGAAUGUCCUGAAUAAACUCACCGCCAUCUACGACCUGACAUAAGGCCGAUCCAAGGCUUGAGUUAUCUGGACCAGAAACCCCGCUGUGAAGUAUAGAUUAUAUGACAGUCUUUUAUCUCAUUGCAGAUCGGUGUCCAUUACAAGUUUUAUUAAUCUUCUAAACCGCCUCUAACAUGAUGUCCACUACAGUUGUGUUUUGGACGAUACUAGGGACGGUUGCGGGCAUUGGCUGUGUUCUUGUGUUGGUCGCUUACCUAGUAUGGAGGUUUUACUUACAUCCUAAAAGUAAAGUAGUCGAUUCCACGGAUGAUUUCUACGAGGAGAUAACGGAGACCGAAAUAAAAACAGUGACGUCUCAUCCCCAAGAUGGCGCUACUGUGGUAACACAGAAUGUUCGCACUCGGACGCGAAGUUCCAGACCACGUGCUCGCCGAGAAAGCAAAGAUCUCGAUACGGUGCCCCAACAAAAGGACGGUGAAUGUUCACCGAGUCUUAUCGGAGAUUCCUCUACGCUUCUUGGGACUUGGAAUGUGCCUUCUUUAAUGAAUAACUGGAGGGAAGGCGAGGAAGAUUUCGUUAAGAUGAUGUCAAAAUCUAAUUUCAGGCAACUGCCGUGGAAGGUACCAUAUUCUAGAACAACCGCGCGGCAUUUACCAACCAAGCCGCUGCCAAGUUCAACUGACGACAAAAUCGAAGUAAUCGAGUUGUCGUGACAGGUAAAUGAGACUAGUAAAGCUUAAUAUAAGUGACCACUGAGGUAUGUCGACAGGAAAUGAGAUUUUCACUGUCGACAGGUACGAGUGUUUCACCGUAACGACCGGGUGGCGAAACGUUAAAUCACUUUGACAAUUCGUGCAAGGACGUACAACUACAGUCAGAUCUGUUAGUAAACAUUCAGCUUCGUAUUGUCCCGUUAUUUGUGUUUAUAAAAUGGAAGUCUUCAAGACAAAGAUAUGCGCCUAUAUCUAACUUAUUAGUACAGUUAUUUAAAGUUCAAUUUUUUGCCAUUAUUGAGUUCAGUAAGGCGUCCAAUAACAUAGAAAAGCGGACCGUGGGCUUGUCACGAAAUUCAAAUAUCUAUUUGUUAACAUUAAUAAUUAAUUUGUGUUUUUCGUUCUAUUUAACAACCAUUUACUUAUAUGAUGGUGAAUGGUUUUAUAGGUGUAGGGGAUAAAACAAAGACCUUUAUCAUGUUAUUGACGAAGUAUCCCAAGUGUAACGUACGGAAUUGUAUGCCAUAUUGAUGACAGAUAUGUGACUUUCAACAAAGAUUUCUGCAAAAUCCCAGGAGCGCCGUCGACUGCUUAUUGUCACUUAUGAAAAGAGUGAAUCAAAAAAAUGGACUGAACCCGAAUUUCUCGUCCGGUUGGGAUUAACUGAAGUAUCAGUAUUUAUGUCUUUGUCUUGUAUACAGGAAUGCUUUUACUCAUAUAUAUAUCAUCUUAAUAUCAUUGUCAGGAAUAUGGACUGGUCUCAACACAACCAACAAUACAAUAUAGGCUCUUGUUUACAGAAGUUUUAUUGGUAUUUAUGAUAUUUGU